GACGAACGCUGGCGGCGUGCCUAAUACAUGCAAGUUGAGCGAUGAAGCUUGGUGCUUGCCCCAAUUUGAAGAGCAGCGAACGGGUGAGUAACGCGUGGGGAAUCUGCCUUUGAGCGGGGGACAACAUUUGGAAACGAAUGCUAAUACCGCAUAACAACUUUAAACAUAAGUUUUAAGUUUGAAAGAUGCAAUUGCAUCACUCAAAGAUGAUCCCGCGUUGUAUUAGCUAGUUGGUGAGGUAAAGGCUCACCAAGGCGAUGAUACAUAGCCGACCUGAGAGGGUGAUCGGCCACAUUGGGACUGAGACACGGCCCAAACUCCUACGGGAGGCAGCAGGAGGGAAUCGUCGGCAAUGGGCGAAAGUCUGACCGAGAAACGCCGCGGGAGGGAAGAAGGGUGUCGGAUCGUAAAACUCUGUUGGUAGAGAAGAACGUUGGUGAGAGUGGAAAGCUCAUCAAGUGACGGUAACUACCCAGAAAGGGACGGCUAACUACGUG
rnacentral:rRNA from 1 species